GAUGAACGCUGGCGGCGUGCUUAACACAUGCCAGUCGAACGAUGAAGCCCAGCUUGCUGGGUGGAUUAGUGGCGAACGGGUGAGUAACACGUGAGUAACCUGCCCUUAACUCUGGGAUAAGCCUGGGAAACUGGGUCUAAUACCGGAUAGGAGCGUCCACCGCAUGGUGGGUGUUGGAAAGAUUUAUCGGUUUUGGAUGGACUCGCGGCCUAUCAGCUUGUUGGUGAGGUAAUGGCUCACCAAGGCGACGACGGGUAGCCGGCCUGAGAGGGUGACCGGCCACACUGGGACUGAGACACGGCCCAGACUCCUACGGGAGGCAGCAGUGGGGAAUAUUGCACAAUGGGCGCAAGCCGGAUGCAGCGACGCCGCGUGAGGGAUGACGGCCUUCGGGUUGUAAACCUCUUUCAGUAGGGAAGAAGCGAAAGUGACGGUACCUGCAGAAGAAGCACCGGCUAACUACGU
rnacentral:rRNA from 1 species